GGGCUCGCAGGCGGUUUCUUAAGUCUGAUGUGAAAGCCCCCGGCUCAACCGGGGAGGGUCAUUGGAAACUGGGAAACUUGAGUGCAGAAGAGGAGAGUGGAAUUCCACGUGUAGCGGUGAAAUGCGUAGAGAUGUGGAGGAACACCAGUGGCGAAGGCGACUCUCUGGUCUGUAACUGACGCUGAGGAGCGAAAGCGUGGGGAGCGAACAGGAUUAGAUACCCUGGUAGUCCACGCCGUAAACGAUGAGUGCUAAGUGUUAGGGGGUUUCCGCCCCUUAGUGCUGCAGCUAACGCAUUAAGCACUCCGCCUGGGGAGUACGGUCGCAAGACUGAAACUCAAAGGAAUUGACGGGGGCCCGCACAAGCGGUGGAGCAUGUGGUUUAAUUCGAAGCAACGCGAAGAACCUUACCAGGUCUUGACAUCCUCUGACAACCCUAGAGAUAGGGCUUUCCCUUCGGGGACAGAGUGACAGGUGGUGCAUGGUUGUCGUCAGCUCGUGUCGUGAGAUGUUGGGUUAAGUCCCGCAACGAGCGCAACCCUUGAUCUUAGUUGCCAGCAUUCAGUUGGGCACUCUAAGGUGACUGCCGGUGACAAACCGGAGGAAGGUGGGGAUGACGUCAAAUCAUCAUGCCCCUUAUGACCUGGGCUACACACGUGCUACAAUGGACAGAACAAAGGGCUGCGAGACCGCAAGGUUUAGCCAAUCCCACAAAUCUGUUCUCAGUUCGGAUCGCAGUCUGCAACUCGACUGCGUGAAGCUGGAAUCGCUAGUAAUCGCGGAU
rnacentral:rRNA from 1 species